CAAAAUUAUAUAAAGAUUGCUCGUAUAACCUCAACAAUAUGGAUUGGGGGUUUCUACUGGAAGCCACAAACUUUCCUAGCUACGAGAAAAAGCCGCUUUAUG
rnacentral:ncRNA from 1 species